GGUUCAAGUCCCUCUAUCCCCAACCUC
rnacentral:tRNA from 9 species